rnacentral:rRNA from 1 species
CGGCAGGCCUAACACAUGCAAGUCGAACGGUAACAGGAAGCAGCUUGCUGCUUCGCUGACGAGUGGCGGACGGGUGAGUAAUGUCUGGGAAACUGCCUGAUGGAGGGGGAUAACUACUGGAAACGGUAGCUAAUACCGCAUAACGUCGCAAGACCAAAGAGGGGGACCUUCGGGCCUCUUGCCAUCGGAUGUGCCCAGAUGGGAUUAGCUAGUAGGUGGGGUAACGGCUCACCUAGGCGACGAUCCCUAGCUGGUCUGAGAGGAUGACCAGCCACACUGGAACUGAUACACGGUCCAAACUCCUACGGGAGGCGGCAGUGGGGAAUAUUGCACAAUGGGCGCAAGCCUGAUGCCCCCAUGCCGCGUGUAUGAAGAAGGCCUUCGGGUUGUAAAGUACUUUCAGCGGGGAGGAAGGGAGUAAAGUUAAUACCUUUGCUCAUUGACGUUCCCCGC